rnacentral:lncRNA from 1 species
CUGCGGCUGGAUCCUUUUAAAGAUAUGAUAAAUCCAUUCUUCUUACUGAAUCAAAAUUGUGGUCAGUGCCACAUCACAUAUGCCAUCUUUUUGACUUCUUUCGAGCAAUUUCCAAAGCAACUAAUUCUUCCACCUUGCCGAAGAGGAAGUUAACUACAAGAAACAUCAACAUCCAGCUUGUCUUCUUGUUACUUGGUCUCUCUGAUGCACCAAUUUGAAAAUUAAUUAGCUUGACCGUCUCAUUGAUAACUGAAUUGCUACAAGAAACCUCGAUAUGUGGCAUAAUUUUGGCAUAGGUCUCAUCUACAUGCUUUGGCUCUUUAAUUUUAUGGUCGACCAAAUCAUAGCAAGAGAUGUCCAUAUCUUGGAUAGCUUCCGCAUGCAUAACCUAGCUUUAUUUAUAUGGUUUGACUCCUCAACUAUAGCAUCCAUCACCUCUAUAUAGGGCCUUAGGAAGUGGCUUUGAGCCAUAAUUAUCUAGCUCUUCAAGUUUGGAGAAAACUUGAAAAAGAAUCGUUUCACCUUUUUAUACUUUAGCAAUUGAAGUUGCAACAUGCGAAAACUUA